rnacentral:tRNA from 1 species
GGCUUGCUGGUCUAGUGGUAUGAUUCUCGCUUUGGGUGCGAGAGGUCAGGGGUUCGAUUCCCGUGCAAGCCC